GCUACAUCCCGCUGGUGAGUGCUGGGGGGCGGUUCCUCCUUGCCUCCAGUCCCAAGGCUGGCAGCCAGGAGAGCAGAGCGGAGCGGGCUGUGCCCAGGUCACUCCACUUCCUGCCGCCCCGUGAGCGCGGGGUUGGGCCCGCCCUGCAAUCACCAGGCGACAGGAAGUGGAGCGACCUGGCCCCAACCCAUUCCGCUCUGCCGGCUCCCAGCCGCUCCACUGCCUUGUGCUGGGGGGCGGUUUUCCCCCUGCCCUCCCAAGCCUACUCCUACUCCUGCCCCCCAUAGACCUUGGGCACAGCCUCCACGCCUGCAGAGGCCUGGGUCCAGACCCCCUUCCCCCUGAGGCCUGGGUCCAGCCGACCCCCUACGGGGGGAUUGCGUAGGCACCACAAUGUCUAGGGACAGCCCUGAUAGGCCCCUCCAGGCAUGUAGGUCGUGAAGGAGCCUGGCUGGGGCAGGCCGGGCUCCCACUCUGUCCUGACUGGUUGUGCUGCUUCCGAGGGCCAGAGGGAUCCCUGACCAGCCACAGCAGUGCUGCAGGCUCAGCCCAUGCAUGGACAUAGUCAAUUCCAGCACGCUGAUCUAAGGGUGAUCCUACCAAGAAAAUACGGCCAAAGGAAUACAGAGUGGGGGAGACGAAGACUGCCCCAGUGCAGCAGACUGUGGUAAAUCAACCCCUGGCCCGUCUUGCCAAAGGGAGAAGUGCUGAGGCUGGUGAGACAAAGAAGGUGCCUUACAACUGUAGGGACAGAGGAGCAACUAUCAUUGGCCAGACAAGUGUUGAUGGCCCAUCAAGAAUAAUCCACUAUCCCAGAAACUCCACACAGAGGACACCUAGGCAAUGAGGGCAGCCUGACCCACAUCACAGCAAUUAUCUUUCCAGCAGUUGGAAGAAAGUACAAAAGAGGGACAGUGACAUCAACACUUGGCCUCUUUUCUCUCCCAUCUCAACACCCGGAAGAUCAUCCGAAAGACACGGACUUUGAAUUGAACUGUGUAUUGAGAACUGAGCUGCUUGUAACAUUUAUUAGGUUUACUGAUUCAAAUUUUGCUUAGUCUGUAGAAUUUAGAUUGUGAAUUUAUUUUCAUUUCUAUGUAACCAACUUUGAUCUCUAUGCCUGCUACUUAUAAUCCUUUAAAAUCUCUUUCUGUAGUUAAUAAAUCUGUUUUAUAUUUUAUCUAAAA